GAUGAACGCUGGCGGCGUGCCUAAUACAUGCAAGUCGAGCGAACCUCUUCGGAGGUUAGCGGCGGACGGGUGAGUAACACGUGGGCAACCUACCUUGUAGAUGGGGAUAACAUCGAGAAAUCGGUGCUAAUACCGAAUAACACUUUUCUCCACAUGGAGAAAAGUUAAAAGUUGGCUUUUGCUAACACUACAAGAUGGGCCCGCGGCGCAGUUAGCUAGUUGGUGAGGUAACGGCUCACCAAGGCGACGAUGCGUAGCCGACCUGAGAGGGUGGUCGGCCACACUGGGAGUGAGACACGGCCCAGACUCCUACGGGAGGCAGCAGUAGGGAAUCUUCCGCAAUGGACGAAAGUCUGACGGAGCAACGCCGCGUGAGUGAUGAAGGCCUUCGGGUCGUAAAACUCUGUUGUUAGGGAAGAACAAGUACCGUUCGAAUAGGGCGGUACCGUGACGGUACCUAACCAGAAAGCCACGGCUAACUACGUGCCAGCCGCCGCUGUAA
rnacentral:rRNA from 1 species